GGAUUGGUAGCUCAGCGGAUAGAGCACCCGCCUUCUAAGCGGGCGGUCGUAGGUUCGAUUCCUACCCAAUCCG
rnacentral:tRNA from 1 species